UUUCCGUAGGUGAACCUGCGGAAGGAUCAUUGCACACACAAAGUUGCAGCAAACCCCCUUUGCGAAUUUCAUGAUUGUCCCCCCUUUUGGGGGGCUGGGACAACAGUCUCGGCCUCCCAAAACACCCGAGUGGUUCCGGCCGCUUGGGUGCUAUCCAACCGAUUGCACUCUGCAUCAACACCUCCAAUUCGACUGAGUAUAAAAACCGGGACUCUCUGUCUAACAGGGGGUCCCCGAGUUGUAAUAAACAAAAACAACUCUCAGCAACGGAUAUCUUGGCUCUU
rnacentral:misc_RNA from 1 species